rnacentral:lncRNA from 1 species
UUUUUUUCUUUUUUGAGAAAUAGGUAGCAAGUUACCUGCUUCAUUCAUUAAGCGAAAUGAACUAAGCGUACAUGAUGGAGACAGCUAGGGCCUCCUGAAAAAGUCGAAAAAAUACAAGAAAGAAAACCCAAAAUAAAGAACUCUACACCUACCGAUUAGACAAAGUAAACAAGAAAAGCGGGGUGGAUAACGAAAAGGAAGAAGAGGGGACCGAGCAUAGA